AAGGAAGCCAUCUUACACGAAUAAUAAGUGAGGUUCACAUUAAAACUGGUUGUAAACAAACGCAGACAUGUUGGACGUACCAAAACCGGAGUUUAUUGCUCUCAAGUACAACUUUUCAUCAAAAAAUCGUAAAGCGAGUCAACAGAGUGCCCGAUUUGCGGGAAGUUCAUGUCCCACCUGAGGCAACACCUGACGGCACGUCAUAAAGUAGGAAACUUUGCGGAGAAAUGUCUGCUCAUGAACUGGUCCAGUGGACGAUAACAAACGCCCAGUGCGCCGUGGACGCCAUUCCUGAUCGCACUUCCAUUCCAACUGACAGAUUCCGGGAUGAUUUUCCUUUUUCCAUUAAAGGAACGCAAACUAGCGUACAUGGACAUAGAGUAAAUUGCAUUGGAUGCUAUCAUCAAUCUCUACCUGCUGCCAAGAUGUCUUCUAAGCUGACCGGAGCUGGCCUCUGGUAGUGGGCUGGCUGGGUGUGUGUGUAUCUCAGUCACACAGGUCCCUUUAAAGAGGCUUGUACGUGUGACAGGCCAUGAAAGACCUUGAUAAGUCCCAGGUUUCCCCCCCGCAACCAACUCCUGUCUGGACUCAGAAGCCAGAAAUUGUUACACGAGAUUCACGGAAGUUUUGAAAGGUGUUUCACCCUUUGGCUUCUUCUUUUGAAUUUUUGACAUUGGCUAUUUUAUUGUUGGUAUGUAGGCUGAAAGUAUGUAUUUCCUCUUAAAUUAAGAAAAUAUGUGUGAAAGUAGUGCUGCAUGUAGUUGUCUAGUAGCAUAUGUAAUCAUGUGCAUUUUUUUACUUGAUUUGCUGUUUUGAAUUCAUCCUCACCAUCACCACCAACACCCCCACUAACACCACCACCACCUCCACCACCCCCACUAACACCACCACCUCCACCAGCGCCUCCACCACCUUCACCACCACCACCACCACCACCACCACCACCACCUCCACCAGCGCCUCCACCACCUUCACCACCACAACCACCACCACCACCACCACCACCACCACCUCCACCAGCGCCUCCACCACCUUCACCACCACAACCACCAACUCCACCACCACAGCGCCAGCACCACCACCAGCACUACCACCUCCACCACCACCAGAAGCACCACCAUGGUCAACACCACCUGCAACACCAUCUCCACCACCACCUCCACCACCACCGCCACCAUCACCACCGUCACCACCGCACCUGCCUGAUUAGCUCCACUGGAUACCGUUUGUUUUCUUUCAUGGUUGCUAUGGUUACUGCUGUGUAAAAGUUGAGUUCAAACAACUUGAUAAUGAAUCAUUUAAAUACUGUUAUUCCAUCUUAGACCAACCCUGUUUUGUUUACAAUCUAAAUCUAUUUCUAUCAUUAUUGUCAAGAGACAAUGACGACCUUAAUGGAUUAGAACUAAAUCUAUA
rnacentral:lncRNA from 1 species